rnacentral:rRNA from 1 species
AUCAUCCUACGGGGGGCAGCAGUAGGGAAUCUUCCACAAUGGACGAAAGUCUGAUGGAGCAACGCCGCGUGAGUGAAGAAGGGUUUCGGCUCGUAAAGCUCUGUUGGUAGUGAAGAAAGAUAGAGGUAGUAACUGGCCUUUAUUUGACGGUAAUUACUUAGAAAGUCACGGCUAACUACGUGCCAGCAGCCGCGGUAAUACGUAGGUGGCAAGCGUUGUCCGGAUUUAUUGGGCGUAAAGCGAGUGCAGGCGGCUCAAUAAGAC